AUACGUAGGGGGCAAGCGUUAUCCGGAAUUAUUGGGCGUAAAGAGUGCGUAGGUGGUUACCUAAGCAGGGGGUGAAAGGCACUGGCUUAACCAAUGUCAGCCCCCUGAACUGGGCUACUUGAGUGCAGGAGAGGAAAGCGGAAUUCCUAGUGUAGCGGUGAAAUGCGUAGAUAUUAGGAGGAACACCAGUGGCGAAGGCGGCUUUCUGGACUGUUACUGACACUGAGGCACGAAAGUGUGGGGAGC
rnacentral:rRNA from 1 species